GUGGGGAAUAUUGGACAAUGGGGGGAACCCUGAUCCAGCCAUGCCGCGUGUGUGAAGAAGGCCUUUUGGUUGUAAAGCACUUUAAGCGAGGAGGAGGCUACCGAGAUUAAUACUCUUGGAUAGUGGACGUUACUCGCAGAAUAAGCACCGGCUAACUCUGUGCCAGCAGCCGCGGUAAUACAGAGGGUGCAAGCGUUAAUCGGAUUUACUGGGCGUAAAGCGCGCGUAGGUGGCCAAUUAAGUCAAAUGUGAAAUCCCCGAGCUUAACUUGGGAAUUGCAUGCGAUACUGGUUGGCUAGAGUAUGGGAGAGGAUGGUAGAAUUCCAGGUGUAGCGGUGAAAUGCGUAGAGAUCUGGAGGAAUACCGAUGGCGAAGGCAGCCAUCUGGCCUAAUACUGACACUGAGGUGCGAAAGCAUGGGGAGCAAACAGGAUUAGAAACCCUUGUAGUCC
rnacentral:rRNA from 1 species